AGAGUUUGAUCCUGGCUCAGAACGAACGCUGGCGGCAGGCUUAACACAUGCAAGUCGAGCGCCCCGCAAGGGGAGCGGCAGACGGGUGAGUAACGCGUGGGAAUCUACCCAUCUCUACGGAAUAACCCAGGGAAACUUGGACUAAUACCGUAUACGCCCUUCGGGGGAAAGAUUUAUCGGAGAUGGAUGAGCCCGCGUUGGAUUAGCUAGUUGGUGGGGUAAAGGCCUACCAAGGCGACGAUCCAUAGCUGGUCUGAGAGGAUGAUCAGCCACAUUGGGACUGAGACACGGCCCAAACUCCUACGGGAGGCAGCAGUGGGAAAGAUAUUGGACAAUGAGCGAAAGCCUGAUCCAGCCCUCUUAGAGGGAGUGAUGAAGGCCCUAGGGUUGUAAAGCUCUUUCAACGGUGAAGA
rnacentral:rRNA from 1 species